UGGGGAAUAUUGCACAAUGGGGGAAACCCUGAUGCAGCGACGCCGCGUGAGCGAAGAAGGUUUUCGAAUCGUAAAGCUCUGUCCUAUGGGAAGAUAAUGACGGUACCAUAGGAGGAAGCCCCGGCUAACUACGUGCCAGCAGCCGCGGUAAUACGUAGGGGGCAAGCGUUGUCCGGAAUCACUGGGCGUAAAGGGUUCGCAGGCGGAAAUGCAAGUCAGUUGUGAAAGGCAGAGGCUCAACCUCUGUAAGCAAUUGAAACUGUAUUUCUUGAGAUGUGGAGAGGCAAGUGGAAUUCCUAGUGUAGCGGUGAAAUGCGUAGAUAUUAGGAAGAAUACCGGUGGCGAAGGCGACAUGCUGGACACAAACUGACGCUGAGGAACGAAAGCGUGGGUAGCAAACAGG
rnacentral:rRNA from 1 species